AAGCUUGCAGAAUACAAAAUAUGGACAAUCAGUAGACUGGCGAGGCCAGGUAGAUCUCUGUGGGGUCCCCUUCUCCGCUUCAAAUGGGAAGGCCAACAUCCUUUUGUCGCCCGUUAGCAAGCAAGACCGAAACUAGAUGCGUCGAGCUGCCUAAGGUCUUGACCACCUCCUCUUAUUUAAAGGAUAAAAAGUUGUACGUACCAUAAAGUGCAAACUAGACUCCGCAUCUAGAUCAAGUUACCUUUCAAACUGCGUAUUCUCGGCAUCCAUGCACCAACCCCCGGCAAGACCCGAUCGGAAAUAACCCAAGAGGAAUUAGAAGAGUGGCUUAAAAGCUCCUUUAAGCCAUCAAAUUUCCCUUCAUUUACACGAUAUUCAUAUUUAUUUUUUGGGAUUCCACUAAUAGAUUGGAUAAUAAUAUAACUCCCGCACCGGAACUCUUGCUUCUUGGCCAAGAGAGGCUUAUCGCAGCAAUCGAUUCCUAACAUCUGAUCGGCGAUUGUGAAAAAAGAAUAGGAGUCCUUUAGCCUUCGGUCAAUAGGAGUCAUUAUUCCCUCUAGUAUAGUAGGUCAGUCUUUAAAUGUGUUCCAUAGAAUAGAAGAGAAAGAGUCAGUCUUUACUCCUUAGUCUGCCGCUAUCUUUCAUCCCUUAAUUGCCUUAUCUUUUAUUUUUCAGUUGUAAAUGUAA
rnacentral:lncRNA from 1 species